AGAGUUUGGUCAUGGCUGUUACCUAACGCUGGCGGCGUGCUUAACACAUGCAAGUCGAACGCGAAAGUUUUCUUCGGAAAACGAGUAGAGUGGCGCACGGGUGAGUAACGCGUAAGUAAUCUACCCUGGCAUCUGGGAUAACCCACCGAAAGGUGUGCUAAUACCGGAUACGUUGAUUUAUCAAGAAAGGUGGCCUCUGAUUUAAGCUACCGUGCCGGGAGGAGCUUGCGUACCAUUAGCUAGUUGGUGGGGUAAUGGCCUACCAAGGCAACGAUGGUUAGCGGGUCUGAGAGGAUGAUCCGCCACACUGGAACUGGAACACGGACCAGACUCCUACGGGAGGCAGCAGUGAGGAAUAUUGCGCAAUGGGGGAAACCCUGACGCAGCGACGCCGCGUGGAUGAUGAAGGCCUUAGGGUCGUAAAAUCCUGUCAGAAGGGAAGAAAUGGUUUGUAGUUAAUACCUGCAUUCCUUGACGGUACCUUCAAAGGAAGCACCGGCUAACUCCGUGCCAGCAGCCGCGGUAAUACGGAGGGUGCAAGCGUUGUUCGGAAUUACUGGGCGUAAAGCGCGCGUAGGCGGCUAUUUAAGUCAGAUGUGAAAGCCCAUGGCUCAACCAUGGACGUGCAUUUGAUACUGGAUAGCUUGAGUAUUGGAGGGGGUGGUGGAAUUCCCGGUGUAGAGGUGAAAUUCGUAGAUAUCGGGAGGAAUACC
rnacentral:rRNA from 1 species